rnacentral:rRNA from 1 species
UUUCUAGUGGCGGACGGGUGAGUAACGCGUGGGUAACCUGCCCUAUACAGGGGGAUAACAACCAGAAAUGGUUGCUAAUACCGCAUAAGCGCACAGGACCGCAUGGUUCGGUGUGAAAAACUCCGGUGGUAUAGGAUGGACCCGCGUUGGAUUAGCCAGUUGGCAGGGUAACGGCCUACCAAAGCGACGAUCCAUAGCCGGCCUGAGAGGGUGAACGGCCACAUUGGGACUGAGACACGGCCCAG